rnacentral:lncRNA from 1 species
AUGGAUUGCGGGGCCCAGGGGACGCUCUCCUGCGUGGUGACAAGGGCUGUGGGGAACCCGGGGCCCCCCCUGUCCCCCCUCUCCCCUUUUCCAGCCCCUCACCACAGGCCUGCGUCCUGCCAGCCGCCGGCUCCUCUGCGCCAGCGGGUCCCCGGGGCUCUCCGCCGCCCCUCUGCCCCCCCAGGGGACGUCCUCCCCGCUCGCCUUCGGGGGGUCCUCGUCCUCGGGGAUGGGGUUGUACCAGAUCUCGCCCUCGCUGCCGGCCCCACCGGCCUCGGCCUCGGCCCCGCCGCCACCAGCCUCGUCCAGCCCCGGUGCCUUCGCCGAGGACAGGACCCAGUGCCGGCUGCUCCGCUCCAGGCUCUGCAGGUAGGCGCCGUGCCCCGGGCUCCUGCUGGGACCACCGAGCUCCACGGAGCCGUUGGCUGCUUCGGCCUCCUCCGCCGGCUCGGGGGGCUCCUCGCCGGGGGGCUCCAGGCCUGGCCAGGGGGUGCUGGAGGCCGGAUCCAGCUCGCCGGCCUCCCCCGGCUCCGGGGAAGCUUUGGGAGCCGUCACCCCCCUCCCGCCGGGCUCAUCGCGGGCCGCCGCAGGAGAAACGGGCCCAGUUCUGCUUGCGGGGCGCUGCCGGCUCCGGUGACACCGGGGCCGCCUCGGGGUCCGCCGGCGACUCGGGGCUUGGCGGAGGAUGCUCUGCGGGAAGGGAGAAAGGCCGGGGCUUGGCGGGGGUCCCCACCAGCGUCCCAUGGGGCCACCCCCCCCCACUCCGAGCCCCGAAUCCGCUGCCGGGGCCGCGGAGGCAGCUGCGCGCAGCCCCUUGCCAAGAGGGAUUUCCGGCUGUUUACGGCCGGGCGGCCCCGCUGCCGCGCUCCCACCAUCCCGGGGGGGCUCGCCAAGAGGAUUGGGGGGGGGCUCGGCCGGGCCCUGCUGCACCCCAUGGAUGGGGGACACGGCCUGCAUCCCGGUGGGCACGGCUCUGCCUCCGUCCCCGUGGCCUGCACCCCCUGCUCACACACAUGCAGGCUGGGGGGGGGGGGCUCAGUGCGCCCCCAAUUCUCUGCACCCCUCCCGGAGCAUUUGUGCGCCCCGGGUCGCCUGCACCCCUCCUGCACCCCACUCGUGUCACACCAGCACCCGCGCCCAGUCCCAGGUCCCCGUCCCACCGGAGCACCCCCGUGGGGCUCACCCCCAGGUGCUGUCACAGCCCCCCACCCCUCCAAGAUGUGA